rnacentral:rRNA from 1 species
GAACGCUGGCGGCGGGCCCUAACACAUGCAAGUCGUGGGAGAAGGAGUCUCUUCGGAGACUCUGGAGACCGGCGGAUGGGUGAGUAACGCGUAGGCAACCCUGCCUGAAGGACGGGGAUAACCCACCGAAAGGUGAGCUAAUACCCGAUGAUGCAGCGGUCCCGCAUGGGAACAGUUGUUAAAGCUUUCGAGCACCUUCAGAUGGGCCUGCGUGUCAUUAGCUAGUUGGUGAGGUAACGGCUCACCAAGGCGAUGAUGACUAGGGGGUCUGAGAGGAUGAUCCCCCACACUGGGACUGAGACACGGCCCAGACUCCUACGGGAGGCAGCAGUGAGGAAUCUUGCGCAAUGGAGGAAACUCUGACGCAGCCACGCCGCGUGCCGGAAGACGGCCCUAUGGGUUGUAAACGGCUUUUGAUAGGGAAGAACCUGGACCUUUCGAGGACCACUGACGGUACCUAUCGAAUAAGCACCGGCUAACUCCGUGCCAGCAGCCGCGGUAAUACGGAGGGUGCAAGCGUUGUCCGGAAUCAUUGGGUGUAAAGGGUGCGUAGGCGGAAGCCUAAGUCGGGGGUGAAAUCCUGCCGCUCAACGGCAGAAUGGCCUUCGAUACUGGGUUUCUUGAGUCCGGAAGAGGUUGGUGGAAUUCGUGGUGUAGCGGUGAAAUGCAUAGAUAUCACGAAGAACACCGGUGGCGAAGGCGGCCAACUGGUCCGGAACUGACGCUGAGGCACGAGAGCGUGGGGAGCGAACAGGAUUAGAUACCCUGGUAGUCCACGCCGUAAACGAUGUAUGCUAGUUGUUGGCCCUUUGGGGUCAGUGACGCAGGUUAACGCAGUAAGCAUACCACCUGGGGGAGUACGUUCGCAAG